ACUCAAAUGAAUUGACGGGGGCCCGCACAAGCGGUGGAGUAUGUGGCUUAAUUCGAUGCAACGCGAAGAACCUUACCUGGGCUUGACAUGCAUCUCUAAUCCGGCGAAAGCCGGUGAACCUCGCAAGAGGUAAUUUGCACAGGUGCUGCAUGGCUGUCGUCAGCUCGUGUCGUGAGAUGUUGGGUUAAGUCCCGCAACGAGCGCAACCCUUGUGACCUGUUGCUCCGGACCUUCGGGUUCUAGCACUCUGGUCAGACUGCCCUGUGAAACGGGGAGGAAGGUGGGGAUGACGUCAAGUCAGCAUGGCCCUUACGCCCAGGGCUGCACACGUACUACAAUGCCCAGCACAGAACGAGCCGAAGCCGCGAGGCAGGGGAAAUCAAUAACACUGGGCGCAGUUCGGAUCGCAGGCUGCAACUCGCCUGCGUGAAGCCGGAAUCGCUAGUAAUGGCGCAUCAGCUACGGCGCCGUGAAUACGUUCCCGGGCCUUGUACACACCGCCCGU
rnacentral:rRNA from 1 species